rnacentral:rRNA from 1 species
AUUGAACGCUGGCGGCAGGCCUAACACAUGCAAGUCGAGCGGAUGAAGGGAGCUUGCUCCUGGAUUCAGCGGCGGACGGGUGAGUAAUGCCUAGGAAUCUGCCUGGUAGUGGGGGAUAACGUCCGGAAACGGGCGCUAAUACCGCAUACGUCCUGAGGGAGAAAGUGGGGGAUCUUCGGACCUCACGCUAUCAGAUGAGCCUAGGUCGGAUUAGCUAGUUGGUGGGGUAAAGGCCUACCAAGGCGACGAUCCGUAACUGGUCUGAGAGGAUGAUCAGUCACACUGGAGCUGAGACACGGUCCAGACUCCUACGGGAGGCAGCAGUGGGGAAUAUUGGACAAUGGGCGAAAGCCUGAUCCAGCCAUGCCGUGUGUGUGAAGAAGGUCUUCGGAUUGUAAAGCACUUUAAGUUGGGAGGAAGGGCAGUAAGUUAAUACCUUGCUGUUUUGACGUUACCAACAGAAUAAGCACCGGCUAACUUCGUG